rnacentral:rRNA from 1 species
UAUUUUAAAGAGAGUUUGAUCCUGGCUCAGGACGAACGCUGGCGGCGUGCCUAAUACAUGCAAGUCGAACGAACGGAGGAAGAGCUUGCUCUUCCAAAGUUAGUGGCGGACGGGUGAGUAACACGUGGGCAACCUGCCUGUAAGUUGGGGAUAACUCCGGGAAACCGGGGCUAAUACCGAAUGAUAAAGUGUGGCGCAUGCCACGCUUUUGAAAGAUGGUUUCGGCUAUCGCUUACAGAUGGGCCCGCGGUGCAUUAGCUAGUUGGUAGGGUAAUGGCCUACCAAGGCAACGAUGCAUAGCCGACCUGAGAGGGUGAUCGGCCACACUGGGACUGAGACACGGCCCAGACUCCUACGGGAGGCAGCAGUAGGGAAUCUUCCGCAAUGGACGAAAGUCUGACGGAGCAACGCCGCGUGUAUGAAGAAGGUUUUCGGAUCGUAAAGUACUGUUGUUAGAGAAGAACAAGGAUAAGAGUAACUGCUUGUCCCUUGACGGUAUCUAACCAGAAAGCCACGGCUAACUACGUGCCAGCAGCCGCGGUAAUACGUAGGUGGCAAGCGUUGUCCGGAUUUAUUGGGCGUAAAGCGCGCGCAGGCGGUCUUUUAAGUCUGAUGUGAAAGCCCCCGGCUUAACCGGGGAGGGUCAUUGGAAACUGGAAGACUGGAGUGCAGAAGAGGAGAGUGGAAUUCCACGUGUAGCGGUGAAAUGCGUAGAUAUGUGGAGGAACACCAGUGGCGAAGGCGACUCUCUGGUCUGUAACUGACGCUGAGGCGCGAAAG